UACGUAGGGUGCGAGCGUUAAUCGGAAUUACUGGGCGUAAAGCGUGCGCAGGCGGCUUUGCAAGACAGAUGUGAAAUCCCCGGGCUCAACCUGGGAACUGCAUUUGUGACUGCAAGGCUAGAGUACGGCAGAGGGGGAUGGAAUUCCGCGUGUAGCAGUGAAGUGCGUAGAUAUGCGGAGGAACACCAAUGGCGAAGGCAAUCCCCUGGGC
rnacentral:rRNA from 1 species